GACGUCAAGUCCUCAUGGCCCUUAUGUCCGGGGCUACACACGUGCUACAAUGGGCAGUACAAAGCGUUGCUAAGCCGCGAGGUGGAGCCAAUCGCAAAAAGCUGUCCUCAGUACGGAUUGCAGUCUGCAACUCGACUGCAUGAAGGUGGAAUCGCUAGUAAUCGCCGAUCAGCACGCGGCGGUGAAUACGUUCCCGGGCCUU
rnacentral:rRNA from 1 species